UACGGAGGGUGCAAGCGUUAUCCGGAUUUACUGGGCUUAAAGGGUGCGUAGGCGGGCAGGUAAGUCAGUGGUGAAAUCUCCGGGCUUAACCCGGAAACUGCCAUUGAUACUAUCUGUCUUGAAUACCGUGGAGGUGAGCGGAAUAUGUCAUGUAGCGGUGAAAUGCUUAGAUAUGGCAUAGAACACCAAUUGCGAAGGCAGCUCACUGGGCGAAUAUUGACACUGAGGCACGAAAGCGUGGGGAUCAAACAGG
rnacentral:rRNA from 1 species